UACAUGGGGUGCAAACGUUGCUCGGAAUUAUUGGGCGUAAAGCGCACGUAGGCGGUUUGUUAAGUCGGAUGUGAAAUCCCUCGGCUCAACUGAGGAAGUGCAUCCGAAACUGGCAGGCUUGAGUACUAAAGAGGGUCGCGGAAUUCCCGGUGUAGAGGUGAAAUUCGUAGAUAUCGAGAGGAACACCUGCGGCGAAGGCGGGUUGCUGGGCUGACACUGACGCUGAAGCGCGAAAGCUAGGGGAGCGAACAGG
rnacentral:rRNA from 1 species